CCUACGGGCGGCAGCAGUGGGGAAUAUUGGACAAUGGGGGAACCCUGAUCCAGCCAUGCCGCGUGUGUGAAGAAGGCCCUCGGGUUGUAAAGCACUUUCAGUGAGGAAGAACGCCUGGUGGUUAAUACCCAUCAGGAAAGACAUCACUCACAGAAGAAGCACCGGCUAACUCCGUGCCAGCAGCCGCGGUAAUACGGAGGGUGCGAGCGUUAAUCGGAAUUACUGGGCGUAAAGCGCGCGUAGGUGGCUUGAUAAGCCGGUUGUGAAAGCCCCGGGCUCAACCUGGGAACGGCAUCCGGAACUGUCAAGCUAGAGUGCAGGAGAGGAAGGUAGAAUUCCCGGUGUAGCGGUGAAAUGCGUAGAGAUCGGGAGGAAUACCAGUGGCGAAGGCGGCCUUCUGGACUGACACUGACACUGAGGUGCGAAAGCGUGGGUAGCAAACAGGAUUAGAUACCCUUGUAGUC
rnacentral:rRNA from 1 species